rnacentral:rRNA from 1 species
CUGGUGCCAGCAGCCGCGGUAAUUCCAGCUCCAAUAGCGUAUAUUAAAGUUGUUGCAGUUAAAAAGCUCGUAGUUGAAUUUCGGGAUCAAUAUGUUGGUCGUGCCUUGGUACGUACUAAUUUAUUGGUCCUUCCUUCUGACGAACCAUGAUGUCAUUAAUUUGGUGUCUUGGGGAAUCAGGACUGUACUUUGAAAAAAUUAGAGUGUUUAAAGCAGGCUCACGCUUGAAUACAUUAGCAUGGAAUAAUGAAAUAGGACGUUUGAUUCUAUUUUGUUGGUUUCUAGGAUCGACGUAAUGAUUAAUAGGGAUAGUUGGGGGCAUUAGUAUUCAAUUGUCAGAGGUGAAAUUCUUAGAUUUAUUGAAGACUAACUACUGCGAAAGCAUUUGCCAAGGAUGUUUUCAUUAAUCAAGAACGAAAGUUAGGGGGAUCGAAGACGAUCAGAUACCGUCGUAGUCUUAACCAUAAACUAUGCCGACUAGGGAUCGGAUGAUGUUAAUUUUUUAAUGACUCAUUCGGCGCCUUACG